rnacentral:lncRNA from 1 species
AAACACAUCUAGACUUAAAAAUCAUCGCAAUAAACCGCUGUUCCCUCCAUCUCUUAAAAAAUCCAGAUCCAAAUUCAAAUUCAAACCUCCGAUAUCCAAAUAAAGGACUCUGAUUCUACCGUCACUGUUCCUCUGCCCGCUUCUCUUUCUGUGGUAUUACUUUCCUUCCUAUAUGAGAUUUGCAUGAGUUUCUGAUAUAUGAACUGUGAGUAUUUUAUUUUUUCUACCUGUUUAUUAUUAUUUUAUUUUUGCAGAAGAAAGAGAACGUGAUGCCGAUCAAUCGUAAGAUUGAUGUAUGCUUAAUGCUAGAAUUUAGAUCUAUUUCUUAUCCUUAUAGAAUGAACGCACAUAAAAUGCAUAUAGAGUUUAUAGCCUUGCAUUUUGUUCUCAUAUAUUUCGUGUUUUUGAAUUCUAAAUGAAAGGUUAGAAUAAUUUACAGGAACUGACUGAAUCGGAGCAGGACCUUCUCACCAGAAUACAGAAAUUAAAAGUCGUGAUUUUUGAGCACAAUUCGUGUUCCAUGAAUUGAUUUCAUCAGCCUUAUAUUUUUUUGACAUCAAAUAGAUUAAGGUAUUUAGAAUGAUUAAUUUACAUUUUAUAUUCUUGCAUUUUUAGAAAGCAAUAUUAGAAAAGGGCUUCAUAUUUGAUUCAGCAAUUUUGAAUUUUAUAAGAUUUGCAGACAGAAAGAAUGGCUUGUUUUAUUAAUAUAUUUUUCAAUUCAUUGGGAUCUUCAAGGUUGGAGGACGAAGUUGCACACUCAAGUUAAGGUCUACC